rnacentral:lncRNA from 1 species
AAUUGGGUUACUUAUUGACUAGUUUUACAACCUUUGUAUUAUCAUGUGGGGCAUAUCAUUGAAAUAAUUGCAACUUUAGAGUAAAUAUCAUGGUGUUAUAAGACUAUAACUUGUAUUACUAUUGUCAUUAUGAUGCUUCUCUAUUGCAGCUAGAAUUGGGAAAAAUAUUUGAUGUUUCCUUUGGAUAAGAAUUGUGGUUGAUUGCUUU